rnacentral:tRNA from 1 species
GGGGGCGUAGCUCAAAUGGUAGAGCGCUCGCUUAGCAUGCGAAAGGUACCGGGAUAGAUACCCGGCGCCUCCA